UGAGGGAAAGUUGCAAAGAACUUUGAAGAGAGAGUUCAAGAGUACGUGAAACUGCUCAGAGGCAAACGGGUGGGCCCUCGAAAUCCGAUUGCGAGGGGAUUCAGUCGGCGAACGGUCGGGACUGGACGGACGUUUGUGGAUGGUACGCGUCUGACCGGCAGUGACCUGGGUAGUCCGACGCAAUUCCCCUCGCACAGUGGACGCUGCAGCCGGUUCGGUAACUUACGAGCUCGGCCAAGAGGACUCGCGAUGGCAGGUAGCCGGACCGCUUCGGUGGCCCGGUUGUUAGCCGGCGAAGUCAUUGGCGCGACACCGGACCGAGGCAGAAGGGAACCCUCCGUGGUCUCGCCGCGUCCUCGCUAACGAGCGGGAAGCGCGCGUCGGGGGCGUUGCGGUCGCGAGUGGUGCCACGGCUCCCCGUGGCCCUCUCCUUCGGCCCCUCAACGACGCGGCUAUGUCCGCAGCGAUGCAUGCGGCUGGCAGCGAGUAGGUCGGUCACCCACCCGACCCGUCUUGAAACACGGACCAAGGAGUCUAACAUGUGCGCGAGUCGCAGAGUCUUGAACAGGCUCUCGGGCGCAAUGAAAGUGAAGGCCCUCGAGGCCGUGUUGGGAAGUCCUCGUCUCAGAGGACCGCACCAACGACCUGUCCCGUCCGAUUUAUCGGUGGGGCGGAGUCAGAGCGUACACGUUGGGACCCGAAAGAUGGUGAGCUAUGCCUGGGCAGGACGAAGCCAGAGGAAA
rnacentral:rRNA from 1 species